CAUUAAGUAUUGGAUUUGUGUUUAGUUUGGUUCAAAAGUCUUUCUAGUUUGAUCUAACUUUGAGUUUAAAUUUUUCUAGGUGAAAUAUUGCUUCAGUAUACUGUUUCUAAGCAGGUGGAUGGCAGACCACAAGGAGAUACUUGGAGGAAGUGUGAGCCUAAUACACCAUUCUAACUUGAUGUGCAGAUGCACAGUACGAUUCUGAGUACAUUAUCAAAUUGAAAACCAAGAUCCUUCAGAAGAGUUUCAGGUUGUGCCAACCAGGGAGAACAUGAAGUGGUAAACCAAAAAGGUUGUAAAGUUGACUGCACCCAAAGUAAAUUGAGUAAGUUCCAUCACAAAUGUGCU
rnacentral:lncRNA from 1 species